UACGUAGGGGGCGAGCGUUAUCCGGAUUUAUUGGGCGUAAAGCGUGUGUAGGCGGUUUGUUAAGUUUAAGAUUAAAGCCCGGGGCUCAACUCCGGUAAGUCUUAAAAACUGGCAGACUUGAGUACGGUAGAGGCAAACGGAAUUUCUAGUGUAGCGGUGAAAUGCGUAGAUAUUAGAAGGAACACCAGUGGCGAAAGCGGUUUGCUGGGCCGUUACUGACGCUGAGGCACGAAAGCGUGGGGAGCAAAUAGG
rnacentral:rRNA from 1 species